AACUCGCCAUAACGGCGGAUUGUCCCCCCAUCCGCCAGGUGGCGCGAGUCUCUUCGUGAGGAAAAAAUAUUUGCCAUUUGUUUACGAAACGCUGACUUGAAAGUGUCUUCCAAGUUGAUUGGUGUCGAUCUACAUUUUUAGCCAUUAAAUGUAAUUGGCAAUCUGGCAAUCAACGGUUUUACUUUUGUUCGUUGAUUUUCAGGUCGGAAAUGGAGAUCUCUUUGCUCAACUGUUGCAGAAAUUUAGAACAUGACAAAGUCUGAGCUUCAUGGCUGUAGUAUCAUUAAUGUGGUUUUGUUGCAGCCAGCUGGUGAAAGGUCUGAUCGAGUCAUGGUUGAGUUGCAGCUUCUGCAUGCAGUUUAUCGAGCUGGUACAAUCCCAAGUUGCCCAAGCUGCAGGAAAACUUCUUGAAUUGAUUUAGUUAAUAACUGGAGAGUAGACCCCUUCGCUUCUCUGUUGCAAUUAUGAGUUAAGACCAUUAUGGAAAUGUGGAUUACAUUUGUUAUUUUCAAGUUGGAAAACUUGACAACUACAAAUUCCUUUGUAAGAUUUAUCAAGCCAGGUGAAGUCUGUGCUUCUUUGUUGCAGUCUAAUGGAUUCGUUUCAGUCAUCCAGUGAAAGGUGUGAUUAAAUUGAGCUGUUGCAUGCUGUCUUUGGUGCUGAUGUUGUCCUCUGGAGUGUGGGAGAGUCCCAUGCUUCAAGUCUUCUGGGAUCAGCCAUAUCUGAGUUGACGCUGGAUCAUAUGCUGCAUUGUGGUUGCCGAAAUGUUGGACAUCUAGUAGAACUGCAAGAAGACUCCUUGAAAUGGUUUAUGUUUACGUAGCAGUGAUGUUGCUGUCCAAUAUGGCAUGUUGUUGCAGCCUAUACUGGUGAAAGAUUUUUUGCUUCGAGUUAUGCUGUUGCUGUUCCUUGGUGCCAGACUGCUGGUGUUGUGCACAAAAGUUACAUCCAGUUUUAAUUGUUAUUUGUGUCUAUGCAGUUAACCGAUUAUAUGUUGAAAAGGAACAGAAAAGUUUCUUGGUUGUGCUACAUCAGUUACAUCCAGUAUUUUUUAAAAUUGCUAUUUGCUUCUAUGAAGUUAACCGUUUAUAUUUUGAGAAUGAAAAAAAAUAGUAAUACGA